rnacentral:lncRNA from 1 species
UUCUUCUCUCUCUCUGUCUUUUUUUUUUUUUUUUAAGUUGGCUGGUUCUGUAACAUUCAUUAUGCUCUUCUUAAUAGAUCCCAGAAAUGCUGAAAUAGUCCUUUAGAGGAAGCAUUCACUUGAAACAACAAAAGAUUAGAGAAACCUUAAAAAUAUUGGAUUUUCUUUACCUUUUGAGGAAGGCCAGCUGGAACCUUCCUAAGUGACUCCUAUUCAAUGUGCAGCCACAACCAGUACUGAUGGUACUGGAACAGUCCUGAGCUUGUCGAUGUGUCUCAGUAAAUACUUGAUGGGUAAACUCACAUUCCUGGUGACUGGUCAAAGAUGUGUCACUUGUUAUGAAGUGUGCCAAGAAAGUCACUUACUCAUUUGUCCAAAGAAGAAAUGAGGAGAUUGUAUGGAAUCUAGGAAGGACUUGAACCCUCAACUGCUCAAUUCCAGAAACCACACUCUGAACUGUAUCUGCACUUCACCAAUAGUUAUUAAAC